rnacentral:rRNA from 1 species
GAUGAACGCUGGCGGAAUGCUUUACACAUGCAAGUCGAACGAUGAAGCCUAGCUUGCUAGGUCGAUUAGUGGCGAACGGGUGAGUAAUAUAUCGGAACGUAUCCAAUAAUGGGGGAUAACUAGUCGAAAGAUUGGCUAAUACCGCAUACGUCCUACGGGAGAAAGCUGGGGAUCGUAAGACCUGGUGUUAAUGGAGCGGCCGAUAUCUGAUUAGCUAGUUGGUGAGGUAAAGGCUCACCAAGGCGACGAUCAGUAGCUGGUCUGAGAGGACGACCAGCCACACUGGAUCUGAGACACGGUCCAGACUCCUACGGGAGGCAGCAGUGGGGAAUUUUGGACAAUGGGCGAAAGCCUGAUCCAGCCAUUCCGCGUGAGUGAAGAAGGCCUUCGUGUUGUAAAGCUCUUUCGCAAGGGAAGAACACUUACUUAAUAACACUAAGUGAGGUUGACGGUACCUUGAUAAGAAGCACCGGCUAACUACGUGCCAGCCGCCGCCGUAAAAC